GACAGAGGUGCCGAGCGUUAGGCGGAAUCACUGGGCUUAAAGCGUGUGUAGGCGGGUCGUUAAGUGUCUUGUGAAAUCCCACCGCUCACCGGUGGAACGGCUGGGCAUACUGGCGACCUUGAGAGGCCUAGGGGCAGACGGAACAAGCGGUGGAGCGGUGAAAUGCGUAGAUAUCGCUUGGAACGCCGACGGCGAAAGCAGUCUGCUGGGGGCCUUCUGACGCUGAGACACGAAAGCCAGGGGAGCGUACGGG
rnacentral:rRNA from 1 species